UGGCUCAGGAUGAACGCUAGCUACAGGCUUAACACAUGCAAGUCGAGGGGCAGCAUGGUCUUAGCUUGCUAAGACUGAUGGCGACCGGCGCACGGGUGAGUAACACGUAUCCAACCUGCCGUCUACUCUUGGACAGCCUUCUGAAAGGAAGAUUAAUACAAGAUGGCAUCAUGAGUCCACAUGUUCACAUGAUUAAAGGUAUUCCGGUAGACGAUGGGGAUGCGUUCCAUUAGAUAGUAGGCGGGGUAACGGCCCACCUAGUCUUCGAUGGAUAGGGGUUCUGAGAGGAAGGUCCCCCACAUUGGAACUGAGACACGGUCCAAACUCCUACGGGAGGCAACAGUGAGGAAUAUUGGUCAAUGGGCGAGAGCCUGAACCAGCCAAGUAGCGUGAAGGAUGACUGCCCUAUGGGUUGUAAACUUCUUUUAUAAAGGAAUAAAGUCGGGUAUGCAUACCCGUUUGCAUGUACUUUAUGAAUAAGGAUCGGCUAACUCCGUGCCAGCAGCCGCGGUAAUACGGAGGAUCCGAGCGUUAUCCGGAUUUAUUGGGUUUAAAGGGAGCGUAGAUGGAUGUUUAAGUCAGUUGUGAAAGUUUGCGGCUCAACCGUAAAAUUGCAGUUGAUACUGGAUAUCUUGAGUGCAGUUGAGGCAGGCGGAAUUCGUGGUGUAGCGGUGAAAUGCUUAGAUAUCACGAAGAACUCCGAUUGCGAAGGCAGCCUGCUAAGCUGCAACUGACAUUGAGGCUCGAAAGUGUGGGUAUCAAACAGGAUUAGAUACCCUGGUAGUCCACACGGUAAACGAUGAAUACUCGCUGUUUGCGAUAUACGGCAAGCGGCCAAGCGAAAGCGUUAAGUAUUCCACCUGGGGAGUACGCCGGCAACGGUGAAACUCAAAGGAAUUGACGGGGGCCCGCACAAGCGGAGGAACAUGUGGUUUAAUUCGAUGAUACGCGAGGAACCUUACCCGGGCUUAAAUUGCAGAUGAAUUACGGUGAAAGCCGUAAGCCGCAAGGCAUCUGUGAAGGUGCUGCAUGGUUGUCGUCAGCUCGUGCCGUGAGGUGUCGGCUUAAGUGCCAUAACGAGCGCAACCCUUGUUGUCAGUUACUAACAGGUUCCGCUGAGGACUCUGACAAGACUGCCAUCGUAAGAUGUGAGGAAGGUGGGGAUGACGUCAAAUCAGCACGGCCCUUACGUCCGGGGCUACACACGUGUUACAAUGGGGGGUACAGAGGGCCGCUACCACGCGAGUGGAUGCCGAUCCCCAAAACCUCUCUCAGUUCGGACUGGAGUCUGCAACCCGACUCCACGAAGCUGGAUUCGCUAGUAAUCGCGCAUCAGCCACGGCGCGGUGAAUACGUUCCCGGGCCUUGUACACAUCGCCCGUCAAGCCAUGGGAGCCGGGGGUACCUGAAGUGCGUAACCGCGAGGAGCGCCCUAGGGUAAAACUGGU
rnacentral:rRNA from 1 species